rnacentral:rRNA from 1 species
CGAGAAAGCCCGCAAGGGUGAGUAAAGCGGCGCACGGGUGCGUAACACGUGGGUAAUCUGCCCUAGAGUCCGGAAUAACUCGCCGAAAGGCGUGCUAAUGCCGGAUGAGACCACGGGAGCCUCGGCUCCUGCGGGAAAAGGUGGCCUCUGUACACAAGCUAUCGCUCUAGGAUGAGCCCGCGGCCCAUCAGCUCGUUGGCGGGGUAAUGGCCCACCAAGGCUACGACGGGUAGCUGGUCUGAGAGGACGAUCAGCCACACUGGAACUGAGACACGGUCCAGACUCCUACGGGAGGCAGCAGUGGGGAAUCUUGCGCAAUGGGCGAAAGCCUGACGCAGCAACGCCGCGUGUGUGAUGAAGGUCUUCGGAUCGUAAAGCACUGUCGCGAGGGACG